rnacentral:tRNA from 1 species
AUUUAAAUAGUUUAAAUAAAAUAAGGAUUUGUGGUGUCUUAGAUAUUAAUUAUUAAUUUUAAAUU